UACGGAGGGUGCAAGCGUUAAUCGGAAUUACUGGGCGUAAAGCGUGCGUAGGUGGUUCGUUAAGUCUGAUGUGAAAGCCCUGGGCUCAACCUGGGAAUGGCAUUGGAAACUGGCGACCUAGAGUGCGGUAGAGGGUAGUGGAAUUCCCGGUGUAGCAGUGAAAUGCGUAGAGAUCGGGAGGAACAUCCGUGGCGAAGGCGACUACCUGGACCAGCACUGACACUGAGGCACGAAAGCGUGGGGAGCAAACAGG
rnacentral:rRNA from 1 species